GGCGCGCGGAUCGCUUUUAUUUAUGGACCGGCGGAGUAAAACGGAGAUACGGCCCCUGGUGUCAGCAAAUGUACCUUCCCGGUGGAGAACCGCUGGAUUGCGAAAAGAAGAAAACGUAACCCCUCUGGUUCCCAACAAGAAAACAUCCCACAACGAAAGGAGGAACACAUGAAUCAUCCCAAAUCUAAUUCCAGGUCCUCGCAUGCCCUUGGACAAAAUGGCCGUCAGAAGGCAUUCGGUGCUGUGGGGAAUCUCCCAGUCCUCCGUGUUUGGUUUUCUAAUCCCCGUUAAAUGUGUCCGGAGAGGAGGAACACACAAAAGCGGUCGCUUUAAUCUCUGGACCGGGACGGAGACGGAGCAGGAGCUGGUCCCAGGACGUACGCCAGGACGACGGGAGAGGUGAGAGAGGACGCUGAUCAGGUGUUGAACCAGGCCACUCAGGGGGCAGACA